rnacentral:rRNA from 1 species
AUUGAACGCUGGCGGCAUGCUUUACACAUGCAAGUCGAACGGCCGCGCGGGCUUCGGCCUGGCGGCGAGUGGCCAACGGGUGAGUAAUGCAUCGGAACGUGCCCAGUAGUGGGGGAUAGCCCUGCGAAAGCCGGAUUAAUACCUCAUACGACCUGAGGGUGAAAGCGGGGGACCGAAAGGCCUCGCGCUAUUGGAGCGGCCGUUGUCGGGUUAGCCAGUUGGUGGGGUUAAGGCUUACCGAGGCGACGAUCCGUAGCUGGUCUGAGAGGACGACCAGCCACACUGGGACUGAGACACGGCCCAGACUCCUGCGGGAGGCAGCAGUGGGGAAUUUUGGACAAUGGGGGCAACCCUGAUCCAGCCCUGCCGCGUGCGGGAAGAAGGCCUUCGGGUUGUAAAACGCUUUUGUUCGGGAAGAAAUCCUCUGGGCUAAUACCCCGCGGGGAUGACGGUACCGGAAGAAUAAGCACCGGCUGACUACGUG